GAUGAACGCUGACAGAAUGCUUAACACAUGCAAGUCGAUGGGGAAGUGGUGCUUGCACCAUGGCAACCAUGGCGGACGGGUGAGUAACGCGUAAGGGACUUACCUGCAGGACUGGGAUAACAGGGGGAAACUCCUGACAAGACCGGAUAAUGUCAUGGAGCUGCAUGGCUUUAUGAUGAAAGGAGACGCCUGCGGAGAGCCUUGCGUCCUAUUAGCUAGUUGGUGAGGUAAGGGCUCACCAAGGCGAAGAUAGGUAGCCGGCCUGAGAGGGUGGACGGCCACAAGGGGACUGAGAUACGGCCCUUACUCCUACGGGAGGCAGCAGUGGGGAAUAUUGGACAAUGGGGGCAACCCUGAUCCAGCAAUUCUGUGUGCACGAAGAAGGUUUUCGGAUUGUAAAGUGCUUUCAGCAGGGAAGAAGUAAGUGACGGUACCUGCAGAAGAAGCGACGGCUAAAUACGUGCCAGCAGCCGCGGUAAUACGUAUGUCGCGAGCGUUAUCCGGAAUUAUUGGGCAUAAAGGGCAUCUAGGCGGCCUGACAAGUCAGGGGUGAAAACCUGCGGCUCAACCGCAGGCCUGCCUUUGAAACUGUGAGGCUGGAGUACCGGAGAGGUGGACGGAACUGCACGAGUAGAGGUGAAAUUCGUAGAUAUGUGCAGGAAUGCCGAUGAUGAAGAUAGUUCACUGGACGGUAACCGACGCUGAAGUGCGAAAGCCGGGGGAGCAAACAGG
rnacentral:rRNA from 1 species